GACGAACGCUGGCGGCGUGCUUAACACAUGCAAGUCGAACGGAAAGGCCCUGCUUUUGUGGGGUGCUCGAGUGGCGAACGGGUGAGUAACACGUGAGUAACCUGCCCUUGACUUUGGGAUAACUUCAGGAAACUGGGGCUAAUACCGGAUAGGAGCUCCUGCUGCAUGGUGGGGGUUGGAAAGUUUCGGCGGUUGGGGAUGGACUCGCGGCUUAUCAGCUUGUUGGUGGGGUAGUGGCUUACCAAGGCCUUGACGGGUAGCCGGCCUGAGAGGGUGACCGGCCACAUUGGGACUGAGAUACGGCCCAGACUCCUACGGGAGGCAGCAGUGGGGAAUAUUGCACAAUGGGCGGAAGCCUGAUGCAGUAACGCCGCGUGCGGGAUGACGGCCUUCGGGUUGUAAACCGCUUUCGCCUGUGACGAAGCGUGAGUGACGGUAAUGGGUAAAGAAGCACCGGCUAACUACGUG
rnacentral:rRNA from 1 species